AGGCUCAAACUGACAAACUCUCACUCUCUCAGUCUCCAUCCUAGAAACACAAACGGAGAAGGAUCGGCCGCACCAAACAAUCACGGCACGUCUCCAGCGAGACGUUAAAGGUCUCCCUCGUCCUCGUCCUGUCACCAAACAAUCAGUGCGCGUAGUCCUCGUCUCGAUUGCAAAUCCUACAAAUCAAGUAAUAGAAUAUCAAAACCCAGACGAGCGAGACGACCUCCCUCAAAGUCUCACUCUCUCAGUCUCCUUCGAUUUGUUGAGUGACUGAGUAUAGGAGAGCGAACACAGCUGCAACCAGCAACCCGUCUCCGCCAGUCCGCCUCUCCGGUCUCCGAGCUCCGCCUUCAGGCUCCAGGUAGAAGAGAAACUUGAGUCUGGACAGGGGAAGACAACUUUCCGCCGUUUCUUUUCUAGAUUUUGUACACCAAUCUUUUUGGAGUCAUUCGUUCUAACAUUUUUAGCUGAGUGGGGAGAUCGUAGCCAAAUAGCGACAAUCGCUGAAAUCUUGACCUACAGAUUGCUUCUUGCUUACUGCCUUGGAGUUGGAGAUCUAAUUCCAUGUCCGAAGCAUCUGCUAGCUCCUCUGACCCAUCCGCUUCCAAUUUUGAAUGAUGCGGCUGC